rnacentral:rRNA from 1 species
UACGUAGGUGGCAAGCGUUGUCCGGAUUUACUGGGCGUAAAGAGCGCGCAGGCGGUCGUUCAAGUCGCGUGUGAAAGCCCCCGGCUCAACUGGGGAGGGUCACGCGAUACUGAUCGACUCGAAGGCAGGAGAGGGAAGUGGAAUUCCCGGUGUAGUGGUGGAAUGCGUAGAUAUCGGGAGGAACACCAGUGGCGAAGGCGGCUUCCUGGACCAGAGCUGACACUGAGGCGCGAAAGCGUGGGGAGCGAUCCGG